UCUAACCUUAAUGUGUAACACGCAUAGAAAAAUUAUUUAAAAAAAGUGUGUAAUAUUAAAAUACUCGAAUCGAAAUUAACCUAAUCCACCAUUAAAUAAAUAAACUGAGAACACGGCGGAGAGUGUCUAUUCUCCAUCGAAUGACGAAAAAAAAAGCAAUAAAGAAGACAAAGACAAUAAAGAAGACAAAGUGUCUCUAAGGUGGCUCGAUCGCCUAAAAGCAACUAUUCUACACGUUUUUCAAGAAUGGGUAGCCGUCCCCAUGGGUUUUGUCCGCGAGCAAAGAAAGCAUCGAAGUAAAGAGAAUCGAUGAUACCCUACCACAGAAGCAAGUUGUACGAUCAGCCUGCAAGUAACCCGAGAUAAGAAUAAGGAUCGUCCAGAGAAUUGGUGAAACUAUACGAUUUUUAUUCCUCCAAGAUUCGCUCUCCUAAUCCCUUUCUUAAUUUUUAUUCCAUCUUUAGAAAACGAAUCCAGAUCGGACCAAUCUGAUUCCUCGCCUGGAUCUCAACUGUAAAAUUCAAAUUAUCCAAAGUGACACAAAAGUGAAGAAAAUGAUGUUAAAUGAUCGAGUAUGCGGGAAUAUUAAUUUUGAAAAUUCUGGAGGAAAUUCUAUUAAAAGAAAGAAAACGGAGAUAUUUUUCGAUGACAAACUAUGAGAAAUCAGAGACAACGGUUUUCCAUUUUCCAACGAUCGGUGUUCCCCUCGUCGCCGUCAUGGGAGAGUCGUACCGGAGGCGACACUUCCGGGAGAUCAGCUUGUCGCUGGGGGGAGUGGCGAAGCGUUGUUGGAGGAGAAGGGGAGGGAAAAGACGAAGGAAAAAGGGCAAAGACCGUGGCGGAAGAAAGAGGUGACCCGGAUUUCUUUGCUUCUUUGCACCAGAGAAAAGCGUAUCUCAAGGUGGCCCAUCAUUUUUCGUGAGGGGAGCUUUUGGCACCACGGUUGCCAACCCUCCCCCUCCUUUGUCCAUUCCGAAUGAUCGAUCGAUCCGCCGGAACUUUUAUCCUUUUAUCCACGAUGGAGGAUGGAGGAAAACAAAAAGGAGAAUGCACAUAAUAAUCACUUCAAUAUUAUUCUUAUAUACACGAUAUAAUAGUAUUUUUACUAAUCUUUCAAUUUCUCACAGGAUCAAUUUCUAUGGCCCUACUUCGUCCACUUUACCUAUGGAAAAAGAGUCUAUCUGUUCAACUUAAUUGAAUUCACGCCCUACGAGUACAACGGGAGGAGCAAUUAAAAGAGCGAUAAAGUGGCCUUUUGGGGCAAGCAUUGAAAAAUGUUCAUUUUCCUCGAAGAAGAUCAUCUUCGUUAUCCGAGAGAGAGAGUGGCCACUUUCUUCGUAAUAAUAAAACGAAUCAGAAGUCUGCUCUGACAUCGGCCAAUGUUAAAUCCCGCGUAUACGGAAUUGGGGAACUGUUUUCGAAACUUUCGGCCGGCCGACGGAGUUGGAAGAAGUCGGUGUUCCGUUUCAAAGGCGUCGGCGAUCGAUUGACCUUCCCACUUUCCUCCACACUGGGCUGCGUUUUCGGCCUUACCUUGCACCUGCGGGAAGGCAAAGGGCAAACGAGAUUGACAGAUUGAUAAAUAGCUCAGAGAAACAAGAGUGAUAUUAAUGAGUUAUAUUAAUACGUAAGAAAGAUAUUACAUACGGAUCUCGAUCGAUAACUACGGAAUAAGCCUCAUUUGGGGAAAAAUUUGUCAAAACGAUUUCCACGCAUUUUUCUUUCCGUAAACGUAACGAGAAAGAGAAUGGAUAUAGAAGAUGAGAGUCGAAAAUCGUGCAAGGAUGUAAAAGAUGGAGUGAAAAAUUGCAGAGGGAAAAAGAAGUUGAAAGAGAAGGAUUAAAGAUCCUUGGAAAGAAGGAUGAGAGAGGUUAGGUGUAAAAGAGCAAAGUGGAAAAGACUGCCGGUGCAACAGAUCGGUGAAAUUCGGGCCACGAGGUUUAUACAGUGUAUAUAUACAAUUUUCGAUUUCCCACAGGAGGUCAGGCAAAUUCAUAACCCACUCUAUCGAUACAACAAUCAUCUCUUGCCACCACUGUGUACAAUUGGACAAACGAUCUCCUGUAUCUCGUCACUCAAAUAUCCAUACGAUUAAACAAGGAAGAAUAUAAAACGACGUCAAGUGUUUCUACUAAAAAGGAUUGACACGAGGUGAUAUAUUCACCUAUGGUAGAUGAAACUAUUGUAGAUGAAAAAAAAUCCAUGGUCUCGUAUUGAAAAUGCACCGACGAUCUGUGAAUUUGGCAGAAAUCCAGAACUACCGUCACCGAAAAGAAAGAAAGCCCGCGACACGGCCGAUAAUCAUCGUAAACGUUGUUUGAAGUCGUUCCCUUUUGUUCCGAAUUGGUUGACGAAACUUUUAGACAAACCGAAUCGCGAAGGAUUGACGUCAACAAUUGAUUGAAUAGUGGUUUUCAACGUUUAACUGCUUAUUGUGUGUGUAAAUUUUUGAUGGAAAGAAAAAGAUCUGUUUCAUAUCAUGAUCAAUCAUUCAUCGUGGACCACGUUGACUCUAUCCACGGUAUACAGUUCGACGCGUACGCAUUGUUCCAUGGCUACAUUUUGCUCGUAAAUCGAUCGAGUCUUUGGCAAUGGAAAAACAUAAUGGAAAUUGAUGUGUUUCAAAGAGUUCUGAUAAAUUUGGAUAAAUUUGAAUAAAGUGGAAUAGGAAAAUACUCCACUGGAAAUAUGUUUUCAAUCUUUAAUUAAUAUAAGGAAAUAUAAGAUAGAAAAAAAUUUUGAAAAUUCUAAGUUUGAAACGAUAUUUUGGAAAUUUUUGAAAUAACUUCGAAGACUUGGAAUGGAAAAGGAAUUCUUGAAAUUAACAAGAAUUUCGGGCCUCCCUAAUCUUCGAUGACCCAAAUAUUUUCUCUUCUGAUUGAUGCAGAAUUGCAGUAAGCUUUUCAGUCGUGCUUUUUCAUCUACAUUUCUUUCAAAAAAAUUAUCGUAUAAUGAUAAAAUAAUGAAUCAUGAUUGAGGAAUUAAAAAAGAAUCUACAAUGAUCAAA